rnacentral:rRNA from 1 species
CCUACGGGUGGCAGCAGUGAGGAAUAUUGGUCAAUGGCCGGGAGGCUGAACCAGCCAAGUCGCGUGAGGGAAGACGGCCCUACGGGUUGUAAACCUCUUUUGUCAGGGAGCAAGGUGCAGGUCGGGACCUGCUGUGAGAGUACCUGAAGAAAAAGCAUCGGCUAACUCCGUGCCAGCAGCCGCGGUAAUACGGAGGAUGCGAGCGUUAUCCGGAUUUAUUGGGUUUAAAGGGUGCGUAGGCGGAAUGCCAAGUCAGCGGUAAAAUCGCGGGGCUCAACCUCGCUCCGCCGUUGAAACUGGUGUUCUUGAGUGGGCGAGAAGUAUGCGGAAUGCGUGGUGUAGCGGUGAAAUGCAUAGAGAUCAUACAGAACACCGAUUGCGAAGGCAGCUUACCAAACUACGACUGACGUUGAGGCACGAAAGCGUGGGGAGCAAACAGGAUUAGAUACCCUUGUAGUC